rnacentral:misc_RNA from 1 species
UUUGUGAGCAAACAACCCUCCGGGAUGGCCGCGGCACCCAUUUUGGACUGUCCGAUAAUUUCCGCGAACGUGCGCGUGUGGCACUUUUGGUCGUUUGUCCUUAAGCACGACGCGAUGCGUUACGUCAGCAUCAUCCCAGUAGGCGUGAUGAAUGUGUUUAUGUUUGCGGAUUUGUACCGGGCCUGGGGCAACAUCGACGAGGUCAUCAUCAACGCCUACUUUGCGAUGAUUUUCUUCAACGCGGUGCUCCGAACAAUUUUCAUACUGUGCAAUCGCCAGGCUUACGAGGAUUUCUUGCAACGCAUCGCCGAUGUUUACUCGGAAAUUGCUAUGAUUGACGACCACGUGGUGCAGAAGUUGGUGAGAAAAUUCACCAAACGUGCCCGACUGCUCUCCAAGGCCAACCUGGUCCUCGGGGCAGUCAUCAGCACCUGUUACGUGGUCUACCCGCUGUUCACCGGCACACGUAGCCUCCCGUACGGAAUGUUCAUCCCCGGGGUAAACAACUUCAAGACGCCCCUGUACCAGAUUUUCUUCAUCGGCCAAGCGGUGCUCACUUUUCCCGGCUGCUGUAUGUACAUCCCUUUCACCAGCUUUUUCGCCACGACUUCUUUGUUCAGGCUGGUGCAAAUUCGAACUUUGCAACGCCAACUGCGAACUUUCAAGGAUGAAGUCGUUAAGGAAAACCGGGCACUGGUCGAAUCCAAAUUGGAAAAAUGCAUCGAAGACCACAAGAGAAUCAUACGCUACGUUUCCGACGUGGACUCGCUGGUGACCUACAUCUGUCUGAUUGAGUUUAUGUCCUUUGGACUGAUGCUGUGCGCGCUUCUCUUCCUGCUGAACAUUAUCGAAAACCCCGCGCAAAUCAUCAUCGUUGUGGCGUACAUAUUUAUGAUAAUUUCGCAGAUUUUUACAUUUUACUGGCACGCCAACGAGCUGCGCGAGGAAAGCAUUGGGAUCGCGGAAGCCGCGUACGAUGCCCCCUGGGUCGAACUGGACGAUUCCAUGCAAAAGAAGCUGCUGCUGGUCAUUGCUCGCGCCCAGCAGCCCCUGGAGAUCACAGUAGGCAACGUCUACGCGAUGACUUUGGAGAUGUUCCAAUCGCUGCUGAAUGCGUCCUACUCGUACUUUACCCUGCUGAGACGCGUUUAUAAUUGAGAACAAAGGACAUUUCGGCAAACCGGACCCAACUGCUGCUGCUACUCGCCCAACCGGACAUGAGACAUUUUGGCACAAACGUAGUCUUUGAUUGCACGUUUUCAGCUGCAUUGCACAAACAUCAUAGCAGGCGGUGUCUGUCAAGAACAGCACAAUGCUUCGAAAAACUGACAACUGACCAAGUCGUUGGAGCUCACAAAGGGAACAGUUUAAAUUUUUUG